GCUUUCACAGAUAUGGUUUUCUUGGGAGAAGCUGCCACAAGAUGGCAGUGCCUCAGAUCACAGAGGUUCCUCCACUUUUAGAAACAAAGAGGCGGAAGUCAUGAACAGCAAAGCUGCUGGGGAGAAUCUUGGAAUCCACAGCAUUUCAGAACUUAAAGGAUCCUUUGAAAGGUCCAGAAAAUGAAGAGGACAGGUGCCCAUGACAUGGACUGAAUGUGUACUAGUUUGCAGCUCAGAGUAACCAGAGAGAUCACCAUGUUGUUUGUAAAAUUACAACUUCAACCACAGAAAUCAUGAGUUGCUAUGGAUAUACUCUUAUUCCCUGGACUUUUGGACACUUUACCGAUGAGAAGUGAAAGCAUAGAUGGCAUACUUAUUAAAUUUCUUGGGAAAAAGUCUUGGUGGUGGUAAUAAAAGAAAAAAAGAAAGAAACUCCAAACCUUGGAAAUCAGUGAUGCCUAUCCAUUGAGAAAUAGCUGAAUAAGUUAUGGUAUGCAAAUGUGAUAGAAUAUAUUGUGCUGGAAGAAAUGGGAAAAUAUAUGGUUUCAAAAAGACAUAGAAAGACUAUAUGAACUAGUAGUUGUAAGGAAGAUGGCCUGGAAGAGAACUGAGGGAUCAAGGGAUUAGAGGUCACAAUGUAGAUAAAGAAAAACACUUUCAUAAACAAAGGCAGGAGGAGAGGUGAAAAGCCAAUAGAUUAUGGUUGAAUAAAGAGAUUUCAGGUUCUUGAACAUGGAGGUAGCAAUUUGUGGAUGGGUGGCAGGAUCAAUGUUAUGAGCAUUUUUGUGUGUGGCUGAAAUGGGUUAGAAGUACAGCUCAUGGGAAGGGAUUAGGUUGAGCAAAUGAGUGGUUAGGAUGUUUGAGGGAGAACCAGUGUAUAUGUUGUAGUCCCCUAGAAUGAGGGCAGGACAGAAAAAUUGAGGAAGAAGGGGGAAUGACAUAGGGGUCUUUUGACAAUAUCUACCAGGAUUUUAAUUAGGUGGUACAAAUGAAUAGAUGAACCCUGCCCCUAUCAUAUAAUAACAGCAAUAUUACAAAAAUGCCUGAUUUCGAGAACUUCUGUAAAUUGAUGAAAAAAUGAAAUGAGUAGAAUUAAGAGAAUAAUUUGUACAAUAAUAAUCCUGUAAAAACAACUUUGAUAGUUGUAAUAUGUAUGAUCAAUACAAUGACCAUUCAUGAUUCCAGUUCAUUAUUGAUCAAACAUACUAUCCAUUAUGAGAGGUGGCACAUUUAGAGUACAAAAUGAGACAACUGUGUGUCUCUAUCUCUAUAUCUUUAUCUAUAUGAAGUCAUUGAGGGAAUGUGCUUUGCUUAAUUCUGCAUAUUUGUUACAAGAAAUUUCUUUCUUUUUCUUUUUCUUUUCCCAAAUGGGGAGACAUAUAAAGCAAGUUUCUAUGAAUAUUUUUGUUUGUUUAAAUACAAAGGUAAGGGAGGUGCUUCAAUGUGAAAUGCUGUGCACACUUUCAGAUGAGGUCAAUAUUAUUCAUUUGACUUAACUGAUUUACUUUUAUUACAAGAAACCUCUCAUGAAGUGGAAAUAAUCUAUGACUGUUUGUAAUGUAAAAACUACACACAUUUACAAUUAAAAAAAGAUCUUCUGAGAUUUUAGUGGACUGCAAGGUCAACAUGAGUCAUCAUUGUGACAAAGCAAGUAAAACAGAAGAAGCUAAAA